AUUGAACGCUGGCGGCAUGCCUUACACAUGCAAGUCGAACGGCAGCACGGGUGCUUGCACCUGGUGGCGAGUGGCGAACGGGUGAGUAAUACAUCGGAACGUACCUUAUCGUGGGGGAUAACGCAGCGAAAGCUGUGCUAAUACCGCAUACGCCCUGAGGGGGAAAGCGGGGGAUCGCAAGACCUCGCGCGAUUCGAGCGGCCGAUGCCUGAUUAGCUUGUUGGUGGGGUAAAAGCCCACCAAGGCGACGAUCAGUAGCUGGUCUGAGAGGACGAUCAGCCACACUGGGACUGAGACACGGCCCAGACUUCUACGGGAGGCAGCAGUGGGGAAUUUUGGACAAUGGGGGCAACCCUGAUCCAGCAAUGCCGCGUGAGUGAAGAAGGCCUUCGGGUUGUAAAGCUCUUUAGUCAGGGAAGAAACACCGGCUCUAACACAGUCCGGGAAUGACGGUACCUGAAGAAUAAGCACCGGCUAACUACGUGCCAGCCGCCGCAGUAA
rnacentral:rRNA from 1 species